GGCGGCGUAGCUCAGUUGGUUAGAGCACACGGUUCAUACCCGUGAUGUCGGUGGUUCGAGUCCACCCGCCGCUACCA
rnacentral:tRNA from 3 species